rnacentral:rRNA from 1 species
CGUAGGGUGCGAGCGUUUAUCGGAAUUACUGGGCGUAAAGCGUGCGCAGGCGGUUUUGUAAGACAGAUGUGAAAUCCCCGGGCUCAACCUGGGACCUGCAUUUGUGACUGCAAGGCUAGAGUACGGUAGAGGGGGAUGGAAUUCCGCGUGUAGCAGUGAAAUGCGUAGAUAUGCGGAGGAACACCGAUGGCGAAGGCAAUCCCCUGGACCUGUACUGACGCUCAUGCACGAAAGCGUGGGGAGCAAACAGGAUUAGAUACCCUGGUAGUCCACGCCCUAAACGAUGUCAACUGGUUGUUGGGUCUUUACUGACUCAGUAACGAAGCUAACGCGUGAAGUUGACCGCCUGGGGAGUACGGCCGCAAGGUUG